UACGAAGGGGGCUAGCGUUGCUCAGAAUUACUGGGCGUAAAGCGCACGUAGGCGGCUUCUUAAGUCGGUGGUGAAAUCCUGGAGCUCAACUCCAGAACUGCCUUCGAUACUGGGAAGCUCGAGUCCGGGAGAGGUGAGUGGAACUGCGAGUGUAGAGGUGAAAUUCGUAGAUAUUCGCAAGAACACCAGUGGCGAAGGCGGCUCACUGGCCCGGUACUGACGCUGAGGUGCGAAAGCGUGGGGAGCAAACAGG
rnacentral:rRNA from 1 species